rnacentral:rRNA from 1 species
UACAGAGGUCUCAAGCGUUGUUCGGAUUCAUUGGGCGUAAAGGGUGCGUAGGCGGCGAGGUAAGUCAGAUGUGAAAUCCCGGAGCUUAACUCCGGAACUGCAUUUGAUACUGCUUUGCUUGAGGACUGGAGAGGAGAUCGGAAUUCACGGUGUAGCAGUGAAAUGCGUAGAUAUCGUGAGGAAGACCAGUGGCGAAGGCGGGUCUCUGGACAGUUCCUGACACUGAGACACGAAGGCCAGGGGAGCAAACGGG